AAAGGGUCUUUGCUGUCACAAUUAAGCCUCUCAACAUGAGAUCAUCCUGGAUUGUUUAGAUGGGCCCUAAAUAUCACAACUAGAGUUUUGUUGUUGUUGUUGUUGGUUUGUUUCUUUGUUUUUGUGACGGAGUCUCACUCUAUCACCCGGCUGGAGUGCAGUGGUGUGAUCUUGGCUCACUGCAACCUCCACCUCCCGGGUCCAAGCGACUUUCCUGCCUCACCGUCCUGAGUAGCUGGGAUGACAGGUGCCCCCACCACACCCAGCCUAAUUUUUGUAUUUUUAGUAGAGACGGGGUUUCACCAUGUUGGCCAGGCUGGUCUCGAACUCCUGACCUCAAGCGAACAACUAGCAUUUUUAUAAACUACAGAAGACGGUGGCUAUUCAUCUGCCCCCUCUCUCCUGGGUAUUUGCGUGUCAGGUGCAGAGAUGGAGUCUUCUGAGGGCGCACAUCACAGCGUAGACAGAAAGUUGAGGUUGUACAUGCCGCAGGUUCCAGAUGGAAAUCACUAGUGCCUCCUCUUCUCUCUAAUAGGCACACUAGACACAGCAGGUGCAUUUUGGCGGUGGGAUGAGGUCCGACAGUCACCUUUAUUUUUUAUUUAUGUAUUCAUUAGUAUUAUUAUUUUUUGAGACUGAGUCUUAAACUGUCACCCAGGCUGGAGUGCAGUGGCGGCAUCUCGGCUCACUGCAACCUCCACUUCCCAGGUUCAAGGGAUUCUCCUGCCUCAGCCUCCUGAGUAGCUGGGAUUAUAGGCGCCCAUCACCAUGCCCAGCUAAUUUUUGUAUUUUUAGUAGGGACGGGGUUCGCCAUGUUGGUGAGGCUGGUCUCCAACUCUUUUUUUUUUUUUUUUUUUUUUUUGAGACGGAGUCUCGCUGUCUCCCAGGCUGGAGUUCAGUGCCUCAAUCUCGGCUCACUGCAAGCUCCACCUCCCGUGUUCUCGCCAUUCUCCUGCCUCAGCCUCCCCAGUAGCUGGGACUACAGGCGCCCGCCACCACACCUGGCUAAUUUUUUGUAUUUUUAGCCAUGGGGUUUCACCAUGUUAGCCAGGAUGGUCUCAAUCUCCUGACCUCGUGAUCUGCCUGCCUCGGCCUCCCAAAGUGCUGGGAUUACAGACAUGUGCCACCACGCCUGGCUAAUUUUUUGUAUUUUUAGUAGAGAUGGGGUUUCACCGUGUUGGCCAGGCUGGUCUCGAACUCCUGACCUUGGAUGAUCUGCUCGCCUCGGCCUCCCAAAUUGCUGGGAUGACAGACGUGAACCACCGUGCCUGGCCGACAGUCACCUUUAGAAUGUGAACAGUGGACACUGUGUUGGGGUCUCCUACCUGUGCCUGUGAUGUGGACUGGCCCAUCUCGUCAUGGACAAGUAGAGAUGGGGUUUCACCAUGUUGAGCAGUCUGGUCUUGAACUUCUGACCUCGUGAUCCACCCGCCUCAGCCCCCCAAAGUGCUGGGAUUACAGGCGUGAGCCACCGCGCCCGGCCUGAGACGGCUUUCCAAGGCUGCAGAAAUGAAGUCUGCAAUAGCAGAUCCUCUUUGCCUGGGUUUGCACGUGAUCCAGCAAACCACCCACCGACCCGUUGCCUCAUGUGAGACAUCCUCAGGGAACAGCAAGGUGAGCGUGCCGCAGGGGAUCCGGUACCGAAUGCAGCAUCUACCAACCACAGGCACUGGAUGUAACUAUGCUUUGAAUUUUGAAGGUCCCUGAUAAGACAUCUUUGAGGUCAGGCAUAAAUCAUCACUUCACAUCUUGACGGCAAUGCAACGAAGACAAGUAUCUGUCUCUUUGGGUCUGUCUAACAAGGAGCAAAGCCUGGCCUCCCACCAGCAUCCAGACAAUAGUGGAUUCCCUCUCCAUAGAUGUCAAAAAAGAAACAGAUGCUCCCGCAGGUGAAAUGAGCUCUGGUCCACAAUGCAACGCAGGCUGUGCAGAAAAUCAAAGAGGAACCAACCCAGAAGUAUCCCCCAGGACAAAUCAUUAAGGGGGAAAAGAUAUAAGAAGGGCCCUAAAUGCAAUGACAGCUGUUCUAAGAGACAGAAGAGGAGACGCAGACACAGAGGAGAAGGCCACGUGUAGACAGAGGCAGAGACUGCAGUGAUGUGGCCACAAGCCCAGGGAUGCCUGGAGCCCCCAGGAGCUGGGAGAGGCAGGAAGGAUCCUCCUCUAGAGCCUCCAGAAGGAACUGGAUACAAUUGGAAUGGGUUAUAUGGUGAUCCCCAAAAUAUAUGUUUAUUUCCUUUUCCCCAGAACCUAUAAAUGCAAUCUUACUUGGAAACAGGAUCUCUGCAAAUGUAAUUAGUGAAGGAUCUUGAAAUAAAACCUGUCCUAGAUUAGGGGGUCCUAAAUGCAAGGACAGGUGUCCUUCUAAACACAGAAGGGGAGACCCAGACAGAGGAGAAGGCCACAUGGAGACAGAGACUGGAGUGGUGUAGCCACGAGCCCAGGAAUGCUGGGAGCCCCUGGGA
rnacentral:lncRNA from 1 species